AUUGAACGCUGGCGGCAGGCUUAACACAUGCAAGUCGAGCGGAGAGAGGUAGCUUGCUACCGAUCUUAGCGGCGGACGGGUGAGUAAUGCUUAGGAAUCUGCCUAUUAGUGGGGGACAACAUUUCGAAAGGAAUGCUAAUACCGCAUACGUCCUACGGGAGAAAGCAGGGGAUCUUCGGACCUUGCGCUAAUAGAUGAGCCUAAGUCGGAUUAGCUAGUUGGUGGGGUAAAGGCCUACCAAGGCGACGAUCUGUAGCGGGUCUGAGAGGAUGGUCCGCCAGACUGGGACUGAGACACGGCCCAGACUCCUACGGGAGGAAGCAGUGGGGAAUAUUGGACAAUGGGCGCAAGCCUGAUCCAGCCAUGCCGCGUGUGUGAAGAAGGCCUUAUGGUUGUAAAGCACUUUAAGCGAGGAGGAGGCUACUUUAGUUAAUACCUAGAGAUAGUGGACGUUACUCGCAGAAUAAGCACCGGCUAACUCUGUGCCAGCCGCCGCGGUAAGAC
rnacentral:rRNA from 1 species